rnacentral:rRNA from 1 species
UACGUAGGUGGCAAGCGUUGUCCGGAAUUCUUGGGCGUAAAGCGCGCGCAGGCGGUCCUUUAAGUCUGAUGUGAAAGCCCACGGCUCAACCGUGGAGGGUCAUUGGAAACUGGGGGACUUGAGUGCAGGAGAGAAGAGUGGAAUUCCACGUGUAGCGGUGAAAUGCGUAGAGAUGUGGAGGAACACCAGUGGCGAAGGCGACUCUUUGGCCUGUAACUGACGCUGAGGCGCGAAAGCGUGGGGAGCGAACAGG